AACCUUGAAGGCGGCUGGAACAGGAACGGCUGAGGAGCAGGCUUCAGGUGCUCAGUGAAUGGAAAGUGGCUGAGGGCUGUUCUCAGAAUUUCCAAGGUGUCAUCACAUCAAACAAAGGCUCAAAAGUAGCAGAGACAGCUCAGAUCUGGGAGACCAACUGAAGAAAUGACCAGAGCGGGGAGUUUCCAGGGGAGCCAGGUUCUUCUCCAGUGGUAGCAGGCAGCCUUUCACCUUGGCCCCAGAACCCCAGCAGCCUUUGCACCAUCCAGGCCACCUAGGUUUCAAGCGUGACCUCUAGUCUCAGGACACCUGAGAACGACAGCUUUUGUGGCAACAGUGAGGAGGAGAAACUGAGGGACGUCUUCAGUCUGGGUAGCAGGACUCAGUUCAUGGGUACAGCCAUGCUAGACCAGGCUGGCAAGACAGGGGCCUUGGGGAUACAGAAGAUACCCCAGCAAGAUUGCCAGUCACACCCAAAGAAGCCAAUACUGUUUUCCAGGCGGAGCUCGAGACCCCUUCCUCUCAUCUGAGAUCAUCUAGGGCGAGAGUUCCGUGAAUCCCCCACUAGGCAGGGCUAAGUCUACACCCCUGCUCAGCAGGAAGCAGGUACAGAAGAAGAGGC